UUAAUCUCCAGUGGCAAACAAAAGAAGUGCCUGAUUUUUUUACCUUAAAUAGGACUAUUGACAAAUAUUCUGUUCAUGUCAGUGUCGUGGACUUUCUGGAUCUGGAAGUCCUCACCUCCCAACCUUUUCUUCUCAGGAAUACUUGAGAGACAAAAGCCUGCUGAGAUCUCCAAAGGACCCUUGGCACCUGGAGGGCAAAGAAGGAGAAAAGUGCAGUUUUUCUUCUAUUGCUGCUCUAAAGAUCUUCACCAGGUGCUUCUUGCGGCAAUCCAAGCUACUUUAAUGCAGUUACAGAGCAUAAUGGUACUGUAGAAACCAGGGCAACAAAUGCUGAAUGUUUAAAGAGCUGCUUUGCAUAAUGGAGAUUGGCACCAAAAGGAAGCCUGAUGAAAUGGUUCCAAGCUGACUGAUGCCUUAUGUGAUGGCAGCUGACAAAGUUUACCUGUCACUGAAGGAGAGAUGUCAAAAUAAUCCAGCAAGAAGAGACUGAAAUCCUAGAAUAAGCUACCUACCUGCUGGACAAAAUACUGAACAAAAAGACAAUUUCCAUCUUGAAGGCUGGAUGGUCCUGCUGUAAAACAGAAGAUAAUAGUUAGAGGAAAGAAGAAACAAGAACUGGCACCGCUGGUCAGCAAAUGAAGCUGUAAAGUUAAUGGCAGACAUCCCAGAAAAAGAAACGGGUUAAGAAAUUUUUUUGAAGAUGCUUAUAGGGAAAUUCUGUCCAUGCUAGUUUAACACAGAAGUCAGCAUUUAUAUUUAUGUGAGAAAAUUUAAGCAGUUGAUAUGGGAGGCUGGCAUUGUGGAGAUGAGGCAAGUUAAUGUGAUCUCAUCUGUGAGUGUGAGAUAAUCCUGUGUGUGGGAAAGGACUGGCUGCAAAUAGACUUGACUCAGAAGACUAAGUUCCUAAAGUAUGAUGUGAUAGAAAGGGGAAGUAUGUGGUGCCUCCAAGGAGAGGGUUUAUACAAAGAUAUGCUCUUUUGCUAUGACUAAUAGACAGAAAUUAUUACUAAGUAAUAUUUUAUGCAAAGGUAAAAUGCUAUGUGACUUGUAAUCUGAGGCAUCUCAUUCUGGUGUGCAUUCUGUAGGAGGCUGAGCAGCUGAUUAAGACUAGAGACUGUUACAGGCUCCUAUGGUUUUUGAAAUCUUCCUGUAUGUUUGGAUUUCCAAUUGCUUGGGGGGGGGGAAAUGUUGCUUCAUGAAAUGCCAGGUCUUUGUGCAUGUGAUUUAGAGUACUGCAAGCAUUGCAAAUUAAAACAUAAAUUGCAUCUCACCAUGACAGUCUUUUCUUAUUUCUUUCUGUUGUUUAUCCUAAAAUACAAGCUCACAAGCACUAAUAAAUAAAACACA